AGAGUUUGAUCAUGGCUCAGGACGAACGCUGGCGGCGUGCCUAAUACAUGCAAGUUGAACGCUUGAUUUUCACCGAAGCUUGCUUCACCGAAAAUCAAGAGUAGCGAACGGGUGAGUAACGCGUGGGUAACCUACCUAUCAGCGGGGGAUAACUAUUGGAAACGAUAGCUAAUACCGCAUAACAAUGUUGGAUGCAUAUUCGACAUUUGAAAGUACCAACUGGUACGCUGAGAGAUGGACCCGCGUUGUAUUAGCUAGUUGGUAGUGUAAUGGACUACCAAGGCGAUGAUACAUAGCCGACCUGAGAGGGUGAUCGGCCACAUUGGGACUGAGACACGGCCCAAACUCCUACGGGAGGCAGCAGUAGGGAAUCUUCGGCAAUGGACGAAAGUCUGACCGAGCAACGCCGCGUGAGUGAAGAAGGUUUUCGGAUCGUAAAACUCUGUUGUUAGAGAAGAACGUUGCAUAGAGUGGAAAAUUAUGCAAGUGACGGUAUCUAACCAGAAAGGGACGGCUAACUACGUGCCAGCAGCCGCGGUAAUACGUAGGUCCCGAGCGUUGUCCGGAUUUAUUGGGCGUAAAGCGAGCGCAGGUGGUUUAAUAAGUCUGAUGUAAAAGGCAGUGGCUCAACCAUUGUGUGCAUUGGAAACUGUUAGACUUGAGUGCAGUAGAGGAGAGUGGAAUUCCAUGUGUAGCGGUGAAAUGCGUAGAUAUAUGGAGGAACACCGGUGGCGAAAGCGGCUCUCUGGACUGUCACUGACACUGAGGCUCGAAAGCGUGGGUAGCAAACAGGAUUAGAUACCCUGGUAGUCC
rnacentral:rRNA from 1 species